UAGGGAAUCUUGCGCAAUGAGCGAAAGCUUGACGCAGCGAUGCCGCGUGCGGGAUGACGGCCCUCGGGUUGUAAACCGCUUUCAGUAGGGACGCGGUACCUGCAGAAGAAGCUCCGGCUAACUACGUGCCAGCAGCCGCGGUGAUACGUAGGGAGCAAGCGUUGUCCGGAUUUAUUGGGCGUAAAGAGCUCGUAGGCGGUUUGGCAAGUCGGAUGUGAAAUCUCCACGCUCAACGUGGAGCCGCCAUUCGAUACUGCCAGACUAGAGUCCGGUAGAGGAGAGUGGAAUUCCCGGUGUAGCGGUGAAAUGCGCAGAGAUCGGGAGGAACACCCGUAGCGAAGGCGGCUCUCUGGGCCGGUACUGACGCUGAGGAGCGAAAGCGUGGGGAGCAAACAGGAUUAGAUACCCCAGUAGU
rnacentral:rRNA from 1 species